rnacentral:tRNA from 1 species
CCCUCAUUAGACCAUAAGGAUUGGGGCGACUCUGUAAAAGUUGUGCGUUUACGCCGGGAUGGUUCGAUACCAUCAUGAGGGACCA